rnacentral:rRNA from 1 species
GUGAACGCUGGCGGCGUGCUUCAUCCAUGCAAGUCGAACGAUGAAGUCCUAGCUUGCUAGGAUGGAUUAGUGGCGCACGGGUGAGUAAUAUAUAGUUAAUCUGCCUUGCACUGAGGAACAACAGUUGGAAACGAUUGCUAAUACCUCAUACUCCAACUUUACAUAAGUUAAGUUGGGAAAGUCUUUUCGGUGCAAGAUGAGACUAUAUCGUAUCAGCUAGUUGGUAAGGUAAUGGCUUACCAAGGCUAUGACGCGUAACUGGUCUGAGAGGAUGAUCAGUCACAUUGGAACUGAGACACGGUCCAAACUCCUACGGGAGGCAGCAGUAAGGAAUAUUGUGCAAUGGGGGAAACCCUGACGCAGCAACGCCGCGUGGAGGAUGACACUUUUCGGAGCGUAAACUCCUUUUGUUAGGGAAGAAUAAUGACGGUACCUAACGAAUAAGCACCGGCUAACUCCGUG